rnacentral:rRNA from 1 species
GACGAACGCUGGCGGCGUGCCUAAUACAUGCAAGUCGAACGCUGAAGGAGGAGCUUGCUUCUCUGGAUGAGUUGCGAACGGGUGAGUAACGCGUAGGUAACCUGCCUGGUAGCGGGGGAUAACUAUUGGAAACGAUAGCUAAUACCGCAUAAGAGUAGAUGUUGCAUGACAUUUGCUUAAAAGGUGCAAUUGCAUCACUACCAGAUGGACCUGCGUUGUAUUAGCUAGUUGGUGAGGUAACGGCUCACCAAGGCGACGAUACAUAGCCGACCUGAGAGGGGGAUCGGCCACACUGGGACUGAGACACGGCCCAGACUCCUACGGGAGGCAGCAGUAGGGAAUCUUCGGCAAUGGACGGAAGUCUGACCGAGCAACGCCGCGUGAGUGAAGAAGGUUUUCGGAUCGUAAAGCUCUGUUGUAAGAGAAGAACGAGUGUGAGAGUGGAAAGUUCACACUGUGACGGUAGCUUACCAGAAAGGGACGGCUAACUACGUG